rnacentral:tRNA from 1 species
GCCCAUGGCUCAGUGGCUGAACGUCUGCUUGGCAUGCAGAGAGUCUCAAGUUCAGACCCUGGCAUCUGCA